CCGCCAGGGAACUACAAGCAUUGGCUUGAAACCCAAAGGACUUGGCGGUGCUUUACACCCACCUAGAGGAGCCUGUUCUAGAACUGAUAACCCCCGUUCAACCUCACCCUGCUUUGUCAUACCCGCCUAUAUACCGCCGUCGUCAGCUUACCUUGUAAAAGAUUAUAGUGAGCAAGAUUGGUACAACCCAAAACGUCAGGUCGAGGUGUAUUGUAUAGCAGGGGAAGAAAUGGGCUACAUUUACCCGUCGGUAAAUACGAAUGGUUUAUUGAAAAAUAAAACUGAAGGAGGAUUUAGCAGUAAGAAGAAAAUAUAUAGUUC
rnacentral:rRNA from 1 species